GGGUGAGUAACGCGUGAGAAACCUGCCUUUCACAAAGGGAUAGCCUCGGGAAACUGGGAUUAAUACCUUAUGAUACUAAUCUUUCGCAUGAAAGAUUAGUCAAAGCGUAAAGCGGUGGAAGAUGGUCUCGCGUCCCAUUAGUUAGUUGGUGAGGUAACGGCUCACCAAGACCGCGAUGGGUAGCCGGCCUGAGAGGGUGAACGGCCACACUGGAACUGAGACACGGUCCAGACUCCUACGGGAGGCAGCAGUGGGGAAUAUUGCACAAUGGAGGAAACUCUGAUGCAGCGACGCCGCGUGAACGAUGAAGGCUUUCGGG
rnacentral:rRNA from 1 species